UUAACUAUUAUAUAGUACUCAGACAAUAAUAAAUUCAAGAGUUUGGGGUCCUCUGGCGAGCACUCACCAGCAAAAGCCGGUGGCCGAAGCGGCUCGCCAAAGCAACAUAGGUAUGAUAACAUAGGGUUGGAGAGUCACCCGUGAGGGCGAUGUUCUCUGUAAUGAUCCUUCCGCAGGUUCACCUACGGAAA
rnacentral:misc_RNA from 1 species